rnacentral:rRNA from 1 species
CCAGAAAGACUAUCUGGUUGAUAGGUCGAAGGUGUAAGUGCAGCAAUGUAUUUAUCUUAUCUAUUCUAUUAGUUCUAUGUCUUUUCCUAUCUUUUUUU